UCGUGGGUGAUUGGUCCUGUCUUUGUGGUUGUAUAGGUUUUCACGGUCCGUUUGUUUUUUUCUUCUUCUCCUGCUACCCUCAGCAUUCAUUAUUCUUAGAAAAAAAUUCCAGGCGCAUGAAUGCUACAAUGCUACGACCAACCCGCAAAUAAGACCUUCAGGAAGUGCCCAGACUAUGAUGCUUUCGAAUGCCAAGGUCGCAUAACCCUCAGCGCCGGAACAUCAACUGGAGGAGCUCCUGACACUUUCAGGCAACAUGGGUUGCAGAAAAGGUCGGACGCCUUGGAGAAAGCCAAUGUUUUCCAUAGAAUGGAACUGCCACUAUGCUGUCCUGCAAGACUUGUCGAAGACCGACAACCGGGAUGGAGGGAUGUCAUCGACUUUUUUCUGCGAAUCUUGGCGCUACCCAUCCCACCAUUUGGAAGAUCAUCGAGGCAUUGCAAUGAUGGCAGCAAAGAAGUGAAAUGAGAAUGGAGCAGUAACUUCUGGGCUACCACCGCCAUGGUAAAGACUACAUUACCACAAGAAACAGAAGGAUCUGAAGUCACUGGCAUGUAAAUACUCCAACAUCCAUCUAUUCAAGUCAACUAAAUGUGAAAUGUGUUAAUUUGACAAAUAAUGUUAAGUUGACUUCAACUCAAUAAAAGCUGUAAACAUAAAAAUCAAGUUCAGUUAGCAAAGAACAAUUUGCUCAGUCAACUUUCAAAUCAGAACUAAUAAGUCAAAUAAACUAAAACAAGAUCCCAGUUGUGUUGACAGAAAAUCAGCUAUAAAUGUGUUCCCUCAACUUCCAAAUUAGAUCCAAUAAGUCAAAUGAACUAAAUGAAUACCACAGUUGUCUUGACUUUAAAUGUCAAUUCAGGAUAACUACAAAUCUGUACAUCAACUUAACUUACAAAAUUAAGUUAAAUCGGCUAAGACCUAUAUGUUCGUUUAACUUUUAAGUCAGAACCAAGAUGUCAAAUCAGUGCAACUGCCUCCGGUGUACAUGUACUGUUGUCUGGGUUUGAACUUCUUAAUUAUUGACCGAAUUGUGUACCUAUUGUUUAAUAGUGGAAACCAUUUUUGAAUUUGUGAGUGUUUUUGCCUUUCCACAUUGUGAUAGAAUAUGCAUUUUUCAUCUGUGUUAGCUUAUUUUUAUACCCCAGUUAAAGGGAGCCAUGUAAGGCCACAAUACAGCUCAUUUUUUCCAUAAGUAAGAAUCCAUAUGGGGUACCAACAAUUGUCACAAUUGUAAUUUUGUUGAUUUGUUUGUUUUAAAUGGAAUUUGAUUGGUGCAACUUUUCUGCAGUGACUUCCCCCAUAUUCCUUGCAGCCAAUAAAUUCAGGUUUUGUCUGUGAGGGCAAAGGUCACGUGCAAUAUCUCACGUUCUCAUUUCUGACACCAGUGGAGCAAAUGUUAAUGAAUAUGGGGCCACAUGGCAGAGCAAGGGGAACAACUACUUUAGGUCUCAGAGCGAGUGACAUGACCUGAUUGAAACGCUUUUAACUCGGUUACACAUGCACAUGUAUUAGUGAUCCUAAUAUUGGGCCUAAGCUUUCAUGGCUAACCAUCUAACAAUUCGUGUUUGGUGAGGCCAAUGUAGUGAAAGUAAUAUGUGUAACGUUACAAUUGGUUAUAAAAGAGAUUAACUACAAAAAACACUCGGAAUGCAUCAGAUCACCUAUCCCGUUUGUUUGUGUAGAGUUUGCUCCUUGUUUGCACAUUGAUAGGGGACAUAAGUCAAACUUAAUUUGGUUUAGCACUUACAAGCACUCCUUGUAAUUCUAGUAAUCAAUUAAUUAUUAAACAAAAGUGUACAAUGUAUAGAAUCAAACAUAUUUUUGAUUUACUUAAGCCUUGUUGUACGAUCACAAUUUAUUUUAGAACACAAGUGUUAAUUUAUAGGCGGCGGCAUCAUUUCAGGAAGUGGCUUGAUCAGGACUGUGCUUCUGAAACUCUACUUCAUUCAACAGCUUUCCAAGCUGGAGUGAGUAGCUUGGCAAAAUGUUUAUGUGAAACAUUCAAUGGAUGAAGUGGAACUGUAAGUACUGCAGAUUUGACACAUCAAAUCAACGCAUCCUUAUUAGACAUUACAAAUUGAAUCAUGGACAUGAUGCAAGAUACAUUGAUGGAUCAAGACUGUCAGUGCACC